rnacentral:rRNA from 1 species
AGCGAAUAGAUACCCCGGUAGUCCACGCCGUAAACUAUGGAUGCUAGCCGUCCGGCAAGCUUGCUUGUCGGUGGCGCAGCUAACGCUUUAAGUCAUCCCGCCCUGGGGAGUACGGCCGCAAGGUUAAAACUCAAAGGAAUUGACGGGGGCCCGGCACAAGCGGUGGAGCAUGUGGUUUAAUUCGACGCAACGCGAAGAACCUUACCAGCUCUUGACAUUUACGGACCGUUUCCAGAGAUGGAUUCAUCCUAGCAAUAGGCCGUAGGACAGGUGCUGCAUGGCUGUCGUCAGCUCGUGUCGUGAGAUGUUGGGUU